UUCAUUAAAAGUUAAAGUUUUUCCUCAAGUGGAGCAACACGAGUUUUUACGGAUGAGAAGCGAAAAUCGAUUGUGACCAGGUACUGCUAUGAAAAAUGAUUAUCGCUAAGAAAAUUAGCAAAAGUUGGAGGUGUUAGCGUUUUUUUCUGUCCAAAAUGCUGUCAAACGAUUCGGUAUGCAUAACACACUGAUAAACUCACCCGGACGCGACAGAAAACCAGGUGCGUCCAAAUCAAAUUUGGACAGCAAAAUUUGCAAAAUCUUCAAAAGAAAAAAGGAGGUAUUCAUCAUAGAUUGCUCAAAAAAGUGUGGAACGACUAUUGGUAUGGUUCAGCGCGCGAAGGAGCGUAAUUCCCUGAAGACUUACCCAAAACAGAAAUGUCCAAAAAACAGUCAAAUUCUGGCGCACUUCCAGGGGCACAGUUUUUCACUGUGAAGCGUGGCACUGAUGUUCCGAAUUUGGAGAAAUCGA